UACGGGGGGAGCAAGCGUUGUUCGGAUUUACUGGGCGUAAAGAGCGCGCAGGCGGUCGUACAAGUCGCGUGUGAAAGCCCCCGGCUCAACUGGGGAGGGUCACGCGAUACUGUUCGACUCGAAGGCAGGAGAGGGAAGUGGAAUUCCCGGUGUAGUGGUGAAAUGCGUAGAUAUCGGGAGGAACACCAGUGGCGAAGGCGGAUCUCUGGCCUUGCCUGACGCUGAGGCGCGAAAGCUAGGGGAGCGAACGAGG
rnacentral:rRNA from 1 species